UACGUAGGGGGCUAGCGUUGUCCGGAAUCAUUGGGCGUAAAGCGCGCGUAGGCGGCCAGAUAAGUCCGGUGUGAAAGUCACAGGCUCAACCUGUGAAUGCCGCUGGAAACUGUCUGGCUAGAGUCCGGAAGGGGCGAGUGGAAUUCCUGGUGUAGCGGUGAAAUGCGCAGAUAUCAGGAGGAACACCGAUGGCGAAGGCAGGCCUCUGGGCAUUAACUGACGCUGAGGAGCGAAAGCAUGGGGAGCGAACAGG
rnacentral:rRNA from 1 species